rnacentral:tRNA from 1 species
GCGGCGGUAGCUCAGUUGGCAGAGCAUCGGUUUUCCAGUCCGAAGGUCGCCGGUUCGACCCCGGUCCGCCGCUCCA